rnacentral:rRNA from 1 species
UCUAGUGAUGAUGGCAAAGAGGUCACACCCGUUUCCAUACCGAACACGGAAGUUAAGCUCUUUAGCGCCGAUGGUAGUUGGGGGCUUCCCCCUGUGAGAGUAGGACAUCGCUAGGC